UACGUAGGUGGCAAGCGUUGUCCGGAAUUAUUGGGCGUAAAGCGCGCGCAGGUGGUUCCUUAAGUCUGAUGUGAAAGCCCACGGCUCAACCGUGGAGGGUCAUUGGAAACUGGGGAACUUGAGUGCAGAAGAGGAAAGUGGAAUUCCAAGCGUAGCGGUGAAAUGCGUAGAGAUUUGGAGGAACACCAGUGGCGAAGGCGACUUUCUGGUCUGUAACUGACACUGAGGCGCGAAAGCGUGGGGAGCAAACAGG
rnacentral:rRNA from 1 species